UUUUCGAGUCCCAGUGAGCCCAAUUUCUCUAAUUGCUAUGGACUGCUGUGUGACUCUAUCUGCAUGUUUGGAAAGAGAAUAUAUGAAGAAACACUUGCAGAGAAAAUUGACUAGUAAGUACAAGUCCUGAGAAGAAACAGAUGGAAUACUGGAAAAAAUAACCAUAAACGAGGAACAAUAAACAUGAUAUAUGAAAAAGUUUCAGAAAAUGUUAUUCAAAGAACAGAAGAAAUAGGUCAGGUAGCACACAGUUAAAUGAAACUUAAGUAACAGGCAGACACAGUACAAACUAUCCCUAUAUGUUCAGCAGUACCAGACUCCUUUGCAGAAUUUCUAAGAAAACUAGAAGAAGGAGAUAGAGAAAGUGAUACACAGCAAGCAG